CUGGCCCAACUGAUUGGUGGUGCUUGCACCUGAUUGACGAUGGAUUACCAGUGAGUGGCGGACGGGUGAGUAACACGUAGGUAACCUGCCCCGGAGCGGGGGAUAACAUUUGGAAACAGAUGCUAAUACCGCAUAACAACAAAAACCACAUGGCUUUUGUUUGAAAGAUGGCUUUGGCUAUCACUCUGGGAUGGACCUGCGGUGCAUUAGCUAGUUGGUAAGGUAACGGCUUACCAAGGCGAUGAUGCAUAGCCGAGUUGAGAGACUGAUCGGCCACAAUGGAACUGAGACACGGUCCAUACUCCUACGGGAGGCAGCAGUAGGGAAUCUUCCACAAUGGGCGCAAGCCUGAUGGAGCAACACCGCGUGAGUGAAGAAGGGUUUCGGCUCGUAAAACUCUGUUGUUGGAGAAGAACGUGCGUGAGAGUAACUGUUCACGCAGUGACGGUAUCCAACCAGAAAGUCACGGCUAACUACGUGCCAGCAGCCGCGGUAAUACGUAGGUGGCAAGCGUUAUCCGGAUUUAUUGGGCGUAAAGCGAGCGCAGGCGGUUGCUUAGGUCUGAUGUGAAAGCCUUCGGCUUAACCGAAGAAGUGCAUCGGAAACUGGGCGACUUGAGUGCAGAAGAGGACAGUGGAACUCCAUGUGUAGCGGUGGAAUGCGUAGAUAUAUGGAAGAACACCAGUGGCGAAGGCGGCUGUCUGGUCUGCAACUGACGCUGAGGCUCGAAAGCAUGGGUAGCGAACAGGAUUAGAUACCCUGGUAGUCCAUGCCGUAAACA
rnacentral:rRNA from 1 species